AAGUCGUAACAAGGUUUCCGUAGGUGAACCUGCGGAAGGAUCAUUACCGUGCCUGUAGUUGUUGGCGGGCUCCCUCGGGGGUUCGUUCAGCGCUACAUCCGGCCCAACCGUGUCUAUUUCUACCUGUUGCUUCGGCGGACCUGCGGGCUUGCUCGCUGCCGGAAGCCCCUAAGGCUUCGGGCUCGUGUCCGCCGAAGACGUCUAGAACUACUGUUGAACUUGGCGGUCUGAGUAAACUUGAUUAAUUAUCAAAACUUUCAACAACGGAUCUCUUGGUUCCA
rnacentral:misc_RNA from 1 species